CAACUAGGCAUUGCUUCCUGAAAGAGAUCUGUUGUCAGAAGGCCUUCAUGUCAGAGGAAAGUACAAAAGUAGCUUCUGCUCUGAAUCCCAGCACAGAAGAGAAAAGGAAACAGCUGUGAUGCAUGCACAGCUGGAUGCAGAGGCUUUGUGUGCCUCGUCCCAGCACUGUGAGAUCCUAAGCAUUUGGAGGACUGGCCUAAACCCAUCUUCUCAAUAUAUGCCUUCUGCUACAGCUGGAUUCUUUAGCUGCUGUCUCAGUGGAAGUUGGAGUUAUUUAAAGGGCUAUGCUUAUGCCUAAUGUCUACUUAUGUGGCUCUAGAUUUUGAUUGGCCAAAGAUAUGUCCUCAUGUCCUCAGGACUUUGAGAGAUUAGAGAAAUACAGGACUCGGAGUAAAUGGAGUCUU